rnacentral:rRNA from 1 species
UGGAUCAUCUACCUCUUAGUGGGGAAUAAACCCCUGGGAAACCGGGGAUAAUACCGCAUAAGUCCUUCGGGAGAAAGCAGCAAUGCGCUGAGAGAGGAGUCCGCGGCCGAUUAGCUAGUUGGCAGGGUAAAAGCCUACCAAGGCAUCGAUCGGUAGCCGGCCUGAGAGGGCACACGGCCACACUGGCACUGAAACACGGGCCAGACUCCUACGGGAGGCAG